AGAAUCAACGCUGGCGGCGUGCCUAACACAUGCAAGUCGAACGCGAAAGGGGAGCAAUCCCUCGAGUAGAGUGGCAAACGGGUAGGAGUAACACGUGGGUGGACCUGCCUCAGAGUGGGGGAGUAACGUCCCGAAGGGACGCUAAUACCGCACAACAUCCUGCCUUUGGAAAGGCGGAGAUCAAAGCCGGGGAUCGCAAGACCUGGCGCUUGGAGAGGGACCCGCGUCUGAUUAGCUAGUUGGUAGGGUAAUGGCCUACCAAGGCAACGAUCAGUA
rnacentral:rRNA from 1 species